GAAGUAGUAGUUUAACAAAAACAUUAAGUUGCAAUCUUAAGAUUGAGGCUCUCCUACUUUU
rnacentral:tRNA from 1 species